GAUCCUGGCUCAGGAUGAACGCUAGCGGCAGGCUUAAUACAUGCAAAUCGUGGGGCAGCGCAGGUAGCAAUACUGGGCGGCGACCGGCAAACGGGUGCGGAACACGUACACAACCUUCCGAGAAGUGGGGAAUAGCCCAGAGAAUUUGGAUUAAUACCCCGUAACAUAACGAUGUGGCAUCACAUUGUUAUUAUAGCUUCGGCGCUUCUUGAUGGGUGUGCGGCUGAUUAGAUAGUUGGCGGGUAACGGCCCACCAAGUCUACGAUCAGUAGCUGAUGUGAGAGCAUGAUCAGCCACACGGGCACUGAGACACGGGCCCGACUCCUACGGGAGGCAGCAGUAAGGAAUAUUGGUCAAUGGACGCAAGUCUGAACCAGCCAUGCCGCGUGAAGGAUUAAGGUCCUCUGGAUUGUAAACUUCUUUUAUCUGGGACGAAAAAAGGCGAUUCUUCGUCACUUGACGGUACCAGAUGAAUAAGCACCGGCUAACUCCGUG
rnacentral:rRNA from 1 species